AGUGAACGCUGGCGGUAGGCCUAACACAUGCAAGUCGAACGGCAGCACAGUAAGAGCUUGCUCUUACGGGUGGCGAGUGGCGGACGGGUGAGGAAUACAUCGGAAUCUACUUUUUCGUGGGGGAUAACGUAGGGAAACUUACGCUAAUACCGCAUACGACCUACGGGUGAAAGCAGGGGAUCUUCGGACCUUGCGCGAUUGAAUGAGCCGAUGUCGGAUUAGCUAGUUGGCGGGGUAAAGGCCCACCAAGGCGACGAUCCGUAGCUGGUCUGAGAGGAGGAUCAGCCACACUGGAACUGAGACACGGUACAGAGACCGACGGGAGGCAGCAGUGGGGAAUAUUGGACAAUGGGGGGAAGCCUGAUCCAGACAUACCGCGUGGGUGAAGAAGGCCUUCGGGUUGUAAAGCCCUUUUGUUGGGAAAGAAAAGCAGCAGGUUAAUACCCCGCUGUUCUGACGGUACCCAAAGAAUAAGCACCGGCUAACUUCGUG
rnacentral:rRNA from 1 species